UGGAAGUAAAAGUCGUAACAAGGUUUCCGUAGGUGAACCUGCGGAAGGAUCAUUACCGAGUGAGGGCCCUCUGGGUCCAACCUCCCACCCGUGUUUAUUUUACCUUGUUGCUUCGGCGGGCCCGCCUUAACUGGCCGCCGGGGGGCUUACGCCCCCGGGCCCGCGCCCGCCGAAGACACCCUCGAACUCUGUCUGAAGAUUGUAGUCUGAGUGAAAAUAUAAAUUAUUCAAAACUUUCAACAACGGAUCUCUUGGUUCCGGCAUCGAUGAAGAACGCAGCGAAAUGCGAUACGUAAUGUGAAUUGCAAAUUCAGUGAAUCAUCGAGUCUUUGAACGCACAUUGCGCCCCCUGGUAUUCCGGGGGGCAUGCCUGUCCGAGCGUCAUUGCUGCCCUCAAGCACGGCUUGUGUGUUGGGCCCCGUCCUCCGAUCCCGGGGGACGGGCCCGAAAGGCAGCGGCGGCACCGCGUCCGGUCCUCGAGCGUAUGGGGCUUUGUCACCCGCUCUGUAGGCCCGGCCGGCGCUUGCCGAUCAACCCAAAUUUUUAUCCAGGUUGACCUCGGAUCAGGUAGGGAUACCCGCUGAACUUAAGCAUAUCAAUAAGCGGAGGAA
rnacentral:misc_RNA from 1 species